rnacentral:rRNA from 1 species
GACAGAGGUGCCAAGCGUUAGGCGGAAUCACUGGGCUUAAAGCGUGUGUAGGCGGAUGCCUAAGUACCUUGUGAAAUCCCAACGCUCACCGUCGGAACUGCUGGGUAUACUGGGUGUCUUGAGCCAACUAGGGGUCGGCCGGAAACAGUGGUGGAGCGGUGAAAAUGCGUAGAUAUCACUUGGAACGCCAAGGUGAAAACAGGCGACUGGGUGAGCGUGACGCUGAGACACGAAAGC